ensembl:lncRNA
CAACACUAACUUACAACUCAUACAAUAUAAAACUAUCCACAGAACACACAUCACUCAGAGUAAAAUGUUUAAAAUGGGUUAUCUGACACAGACACUUGCUCACAGUGCGCUUCGGGGAGCAUUGACACCUAUUUCCAUGCAACUUGGCUAUGUCAACCUGUUCACUCUCUCUGGACCACAGUAACUAACACACUAUCUUCGGUCCUGGACUGCAGAGUCCCACUGUCUCCAGCACUCUGUCUUCUAGGAGACACCUCAGAUUCCCCCUUCCCCUUAAAAUACAAAACCCCAGUCCUUGUCUCUCUAGCUAUCACCAAGAAAAUAGUCUUUCAAAACUGGAAAUCUAAAUCAUCUUGCCACUUCAACCAUUGGACCAACUUAAUCACAGAAUUCAUCCUGACAGAAGAAACUGCUGCACAUAAAAAGAACAAUAUCUCCGCCUUUAAAGAAAUCUGGAAUCCCCUCAUAACAUUUCUACAAAUUCAACAGUUAAGCGCCAUACACCUAACAGAGUGACCCUUUUGGAGAGGAUAAGGGAGAAGAUAGGGGACAGGAAGAUGUUGAAAACGGAUUGUCACACGCCAUCAGAAUCGCAUGGAUUUUCUAGAAAGUGCAACAAAAGUGGAGAAAAGGUGGUACGGAAGAUUGAAAUUGGGUGGCUUCACUAUUCAAAACCUCACUACACCCAGGUGAGAACGAGGCAUGGUGGUGGGACUAGACACACAACGGUUCCUAAAGAAACUACCGUGGAGCAGGUUCUAGAAACCGGAAAACAGCUGUUUUUCCCAAAUGGAUCGUCGACCAAGGGGCCACAACAUAUUUUUGAUUUUGAGGUGCGUGACUUCAAAAGGAAUUGCAUUCCGUUGGAAGAGACCGUGGGCAAGUUGUAUGAGUCAACAAAGUUGAAGCUUCUCCGUUUUUACAUCUGCUCAAAGGACAAAUUCUCUGUGGAGGACGAAAGUGACUCAUCGACUGAAGAUUUAGAAGAUCUAAGCACAGGGAAUCUGAAUGCCAUUGUUUCAGACCCUGCAACAUCUGACUCAUCCACCAACAUUCCCAGUGAUCGGCAAGAGGAGGCCGACUUCAUUAUUAAUGUUGAUGACACCGCUUCAGAGCAGUCUUCUGAUUUGGACAUUACAGACAUAGAAGACACGAGCCCGAGGAGAGUCAAAGAUUCCAAUGCAGUCUCAGAGUCAGACACAGUAGAGUGGUGUUCGGAUUAUGAGGCUGCUUCAGAGGAUGAGGUGACAGUCCAAAUAAGAUGUUCAAAUGUUUUACAGGUAAUUAAUGUUAAUAGUACCUAAUGAGAAAGGGGCAAAUUUCAGGGAAGCAUGUAACCAACAAUCUUAUAAAAUGUUGGGAGUGCUCAUUCUGAAUAGCUGUGAUUCUAAACUCCAGUUUGCGAUUUAAACUGCUAAUUAGCACGUUAGUAUAGAUGGUUCCUUUGAAUACCCUUUUUGACCACGAUGGCAUUAGAAUCACAGAAAGUCUAGUCCUGUAUGCAUUAGGCUUCACAUUUAGUAAGCAAUUGCAGGAUCACAUUCCCUCAUUUUUGAAGGAGGUUUUUUUUGAUCAUAUACAUCUCUGCACUCUUAACA